ACAAGAGAUUGUUGAAUGCAAGUCCCGGAUUGCAGAUAUGCAGAAAAGACUAAACAUCUUCGAAAGUGGACCUGCAGAAAUCACAACGUUGAGUCAGGCUGAGUUUCACGAGCAGAUCCUCGAGGAAACACUGAAACAAGUGCGAUUGCAGAAGCAAGCUUUACAGGAAAAAUACACUA